rnacentral:rRNA from 1 species
UAGGGAAUCUUCGGCAAUGGACGGAAGUCUGACCGAGCAACGCCGCGUGAGUGAAGAAGGUUUUCGGAUCGUAAAGCUCUGUUGUAAGAGAAGAACGAGUGUGGGAGUGGAAAGUUCACACUGUGACGGCAUCUUACCAGAAAGGGACGGCUAACUACGUGCCAGCAGCCGCGGUAAUACGUAGGUCCCGAGCGUUGUCCGGAUUUAUUGGGCGUAAAGCGAGCGCAGGCGGUUAGAUAAGUCUGAAGUUAAAGGCUGUGGCUUAACCAUAGUACGCUUUGGAAACUGUUUAACUUGAGUGCAAGAGGGGAGAGUGGAAUUCCAUGUGUAGCGGUGAAAUGCGUAGAUAUAUGGAGGAACACCGGUGGCGAAAGCGGCUCUCUGGCUUGUAACUGACGCUGAGGCUCGAAAGCGUGGGGAGCAAACAGGAUUAGAUACCCUGGUAGUCCACGCCGUAAACGAUGAGUGCUAGGUGUUAGACCCUUUCCGGGGUUUAGUGCCGCAGCUAACGCAUUAAGCACUCCGCCUGGGGAGUACGACCGCAAGGUUG